rnacentral:rRNA from 1 species
GACGAACGCUGGCGGCGUGCCUAAUACAUGCAAGUCGAACGCAGUGGGGACGGGUGAGUAACACGUGGGUAACCUCCCAUCAGAGGGGAUAACACUUGGAAACAGGUGCUAAACAGAUAUUGAUGGAUGGAGCCGCGGUGCAUUAAGCAGUUGGUGAGGUAACGGCUCACAAAGGCCACGAGUAAUAGCCGACCUGAGAGGGGGAUCGGCCACACUGGGACUGAGACAGGGCCCAGACUCUUACGGGAGGCAGCAGUAGGGAAUCUUCGGCAAUGGACGAAAGUCUGACCCAGCAACGCCGCGUGAGUGAAGAAGGUUUUCGGAUCGUAAAACUCUGUUGUUAGAGAAGCGGUAUCUAACCAGAAAGCCACGGCUAACUACGUGCCAGCAGCCGCGGUAAUUC